AUGGAAGUGUUCCUCACCAUCCGGCGCCACAAGACCAGCAUCUUCACGGACGCCAAGGAGUCCAGCGCGGUGUUCGAGCUGAAGCGCAUCGUUGAGGCCAUCCUCAAGCUGCUGCCAGAUGAGCAGUGGCUGUGCUAGGACGACCAACUCUUGGAUGAUGGCAAGACACUGGGUGAGUGUGGCUUCACCAGCCAAACAGCACGGCCACAGGCCCCAGCCACAGUGGGGCUCGCCUUCCGCGCAGACGACAGCUUUGAGACCCUGUGCAUCGAGCCGUUUUCCAGCCCGCCUGAGCUGCCCGACGUGAUGAAGCCCCAGGACUCGGGAAGCAGUGCCAAUGAACAAGCCGUGCAGUGA
rnacentral:lncRNA from 1 species